UUAAAAGGAUGUCACAUGUUGUUCGGUGUACGCGGUGCUCACAGCAUUUGUCCUUGCUAAUGCAUGCAGUUUGUUGCAGCUUCUGCUGCAGCUGGUUUCUCUCUUGCUGUGUGUUCGGAGUUGUCACCUCUGUCUCUGUCUGGGGCUUUCCCCUCCCUGCAGAGAGCUUCGUGUAUCCCUGUUUGCACCCCCUGCAGCUAUUUGCUCUGGCGUUAAGGGUGUGCGAGGUGGUGCCACUCGCGCUGGGCAGCAUGCCACAUGUCACACUGACUUCUGCAGCCUGCCAGGAGCCCAGCUCGGCAGGGCUAGCCCUGGCAUCAGCUCCACCGAGCUGACCCGGGAUCACAUUCCCACCCAGGGGAUGAUACUUUUUCACUGGGUCAGCAGGACCCAGAGGUGGCAGAAGCAGGCUCUCCCUUGUGGCUAGAGCCCGUCAUCAGUCCAACCAAGCUGACGGCGGAGUUGCGUGCUGGGUUUACAGCUUGAAGACUAGCUUAAGUUGCUGUCAGGUUUUGGUUUGCUUUAGCACUCGAGGCAGGCCAGGUAGUGGCCAUAGAUUGUGGCUAGAGCCUCUGCUAGGUGGACAAGACACCACCAGGGAGAGGAAGGCAGGGGACGGCAGUAACAUCUCCACCUGCUGCAAAUUCAUCUUCUCCCCUCUUUCUUUGGAAGGGCUAUUUAUAACUGGCUCAUCCUGGCGACCCCAGAUGUCAAUGCGCAGCCUCACAAACUGUUGGGUCAGCACGCAUGAGGUGGCCCAAGCAGCGAGGACAUGGGGACAGGGGUUGGAAGAGAACCAAUCUCCUCACAGCACCAUGAGGACCACCAAGAGCUCCCGGGGCCCACGAGGCUUCCCUGUAGCAUUUGGGUGUGCUGAGCUGGUGUGUUAGCUGAUUUCUUCAAGACUCAAGCUUGCUUUCGGGAAGGAGCUUUGCUUUUGCUCUGGGCUCUGCCAAGGAGCAGCACCGUGGAAGAGCAGCUUCCAUCAGAGCCAGAGUGAUGAGAGCUGGAUGCUGCAGAAAAGGAGCAGGCCUCACGGAAAGCAGGCUCAAGGAUCUGCAAGACCACAGCUCUGUGCAGGAUCCUGCCUACCCGUGGGCUCUGUUUGGCAGGGCUUCAUGCUGGGAGCCAGCUAGAGCAACCUCCAGCACUGCGGGUUGGCAGCAUGCAGCCGGGCAGACGGCGCAGUCACCGAUUAAUAGCAGACAGCAAUAUUUAAACUAAUCAUUACAGGGAUCGGCAUAAAACAAAACUCUUAUUAAAAUUAACAGCACGGUCACUGAAACUGAUGCUGUUUCAUGCUAUUCAUUAGCUAACAGCUGAAUCUAGCCAACAGCCCUUGACUGGGGCUGGUGUGCUUUUAGUCCUGUGUCUCCUGGAGACAAGGCUGACAUGAUUUCAGAUGCUGUGUGGACACAUUGGCAUAACCAAAUGAGGUCGUGCUAAGAGGGAAGGACUCCAGCCUUGGGCCCACGAGGUGGGAAAUGGCUCUGAGCUGCUCACUGCCAUGACCAGACUGGUGCUGAGAGCAGCUGCAAGGCUCCACAUAAGGACACAGGGAAAAUUUACACCAAAAAAAAAAAAAAGAACCUCUCCAGCACACUAAAUUAAUUGCUAAGGUGGACACAUGUUCCUAAUAGCUUUUGAACUAUUUGACAGAGUAUGAAAGGCUUUAAUCAGCCUCUAAAAUGUUCAUGAAAAGGGGUAGAUAGACAGAGCCCUUAUUAAUAUCCCCAGUGAUGGAAAGGCUGCUCUGUGAACUCACACUCUGGGAGCUGUGAAUCCACAAAAGAAAAUCCUCAAAACAAAGCUGCUCCGAGUGACCUAAUUAGCACAGCACAAGAAGUGUUUGACCUAUAACGGAGGGGAUUCCUGCCUCAUACGAAGCUGUGAUGCAUCCUCCCCCUACCCACUGCGAAUGCACAAUGAAACAUUUUCGUGAAAUGCUUUUAUACUUAACCUUGCAUUCACAAUGGUCUAGAAGUGCAUGCACAAUCAUUUACCAUGUCUCUUGGGGGGGGGGGGGAAAUAUUAAAAUGUGAUUUCCAAAAGACUGAAUUGGUACAAGAGCAGAUGCUAAACUCACAAAAAAUAAUGCCAUAGGAUUUUUUUAAGAAAAUCUUUAUAUGUGUCUGUCUAUCUAUAUCCAUCAUCUGAGCUCCCACUCUCCUUCCUCUACCCCUGAAGGCUCCCCUUGAACUCUCUGCUUUUUAGUCCUAACCAGCACUUUUGCUGGGUGGCUUCAGACCGAGUGCUCUCCCUGCUGACCCCCAGACACCUAAUUGCUCCACUCCUUAAUGUUCCCAAGGUCGCAGGAUGUGCCACAUCCCCCCUGACCUCCGAGGCACUUUCAAUAUCUCAUGAGCUGAAGUCAGCAGCAAUCUCAGUCUAAAACAUCACCAUCAGCUGUAUUGCAGGAGCAUCAGAAGGACCCAAUGAGGAUCAAGGCCCCGUUGUGCUCAGAUCUGCAUAAACACCCAGUGAGAGACAGCUCCUGCCCUCGCGAGGUUACGGGCUGAAAGGGAAGGCAGGCAGAGUGAAGGCAAGUGGGAGACACGGAAGCAGAGUGUUCGUGGUGAUGCGAGUCACAUAGCAUGCUUGUCUCUUGUUCUCCCCCUCCCCUCGAAAUUAAAGUAAAAUAAGUUGUUGGCUUGUUUUUUGGAGUUGUAAAUCACUGUUUGCAAAAGUGAUCGUCUGUUUCCAUCCACCUUGGUUCUGUGUCAGCGCUGCUCCGGGCUGCAUUUCCUGAGGAGGCCCCGUGGCUCUGCAGGAACGGCGCAGCACAGGAGCACCAGGAGAAGGAAGAAAAACCCUUGGUCACCCCCUGCCCCUGUCACAGGUGGCUGCAGCCUUGCAACAAGCUCAUUGGGGGCAGACUGCAUGCAAUGCAGGGUGGAUCCCAGCACAUGCCUGAUCAAGGAAGGAGAGAAGGAAAAUUUUGAGAACUGGAAAAACUACACUCAAGUAGGGCACAACAUCACUUAAAUCUGACCCUAAGGAGAAUAAUGCAUUCUUCUCUUUCCUAGGCAGUGGAGGUGUACCAGCAUCACAGAGCUGCGCAGCAAGGACAAAGGACAGUCUGUCCUGUCCUAUGCAAAAAAGUCCCACUCUUAAAGCAAGGCUUCAGGACGGUGUGCGCGAGUUUGAUUUGCAUCCAGAGUGGAAACAUGCUUGCCAGCCAUCAGGCUGAUCUGAUUUGAAGCAGCUGAGAUAUUAAAUGCACUAAACCAGAAUGUAUAAUAGCUGUGCUGGCAGACCUUUAAUUAUUGUCGUGCUUGUGGGCACUGAUAUCAUUCAAAUUAAAAGCUUUCCCCACUACUUGCAUUUUUUUUAAUAUGUUGAUGUACUCUGCACUGAUGGAUUGUCCUCUCUUGUCCUUCUCUCACAAAAUGCUUGGCACCAUUUGCCCCAGUGCAGAACUAAAAAUUACUGGUGCUCACUUGCCAUAUUUUUGUUCUUUUUGUUUUGUUUUAAAGCAAGGACCCCAUAACUGGAAGAAAGACUUGAUAAGUUUGGAAAGGCAGUGUUAAUUCCUCAGUCACCAGUCCUCCUCAGAAAAAGCAGGAACACUCAUUAUUAAUAGCAAGACCAAAGUGCUGGUGCAAGCUUCCCUAGAGGAUCGUGCUGGCUGAUGACAUAGCAAAGUUUCCUAGCUUUGUGCUGCACAGAUGCUCUCAUUUUCUUCCCUCAGCUGGUCCGGAGACAGAUAUUUUAGGCCAGUUCAGUGUUCAGCUAUAGCAGCAGAAAGCUUGAGCAGCUCCUCUGAAGUUAAACAGCAUCUCUCAGUUUGCACCACUGUCAGUGAUACGAGAAUUUGGCUCCUUGUUUAGUACUGUGAUAAGGCUGCUCAUUGUAAUUCUGGAACAAGUGGAACUGUUAAGCGGAAUGAGCACAGGACCAGCAAAAAAAAAUUAUCAGAAAAGUUGCCUACAUCCUCUCCAGAGAUGGAAAAACCCUAAGGUAGGCAGAGGAAUAUUCCUAUUUAUUCCCCUGGAUGACACGCAUAGCACAUCACAUCUUCAUUAUAUCUUCACGGGAGGAGCAGUACUCAUAUCUCCCACAUUGCUUCCAAAUUACAGGCCCUGCCUUGCCACGGCUGCCGCAAAACUCCUUUCAGCUCCUGCUGUGUUCUGCAGCUCCCCUUGCUGUACACACUAUGCAGCUGGUUUUAUCUUGGGAGCAGGGAUGGAGCACAGUUUGAAUGGGACCAGGGCUCAAACCUGCGCUUGUCCCUUCCUCACGUCUCCUGUGCUCUGAGCCUUUCCGCAUACUCCACAGCAACUCUUGCUUGCAGGGGAAGGUCACGCCUGCAGCCUGUUUUAUUCACCAGAGACCCGCUCUACCUGCCUGCAUGCAGAACCAGGAGGCAGGAAACUCCUGCGUUUGUGAUCUUGACUGCAACGCUAAAUCUCUCACUGGCCUCGAGCGAUUCACUUCACCUCUCUGCCUUACUUUCCCCACGUGCAGAAAUGAGAUAGUGCUUCCUUUCCUCUCAGGGAUAUUGCAAGGAUUAAUUAGUUAACCGAGUUUGCUUCAAAGGUGAAAAGCGUUUUCCACCUGUUAAGUAUUGUUCUUUCCUAAGGAGGAAAAACAGGCUCCACUUCACAGAAGUGAUUUUAGAAGCCCAAACCCAAAUAAAAGAAAAGCUGAGAGUAACCGUGUUAACACCAACCAGCAGGACGUGGGAGUGCUGAAGGAGGGAGAUCAUCGUAACAUGGCAAGGUUUGCAAACGUGCCACCUUCCAGCCCUUGGGAAGACAGAUUAGGUGAGAACGAGCAGCACGUAGCGGACAGGCAGGAUCUUUUCCGUGGCUCCUGGCGCAAGCCCAACAUAGUUAGUCAGCAGCCAGAUAUCCUGGCUGUCUGGUGGCCUUCGCAUCCAGCCAGCCUGGCAGCAGGUGUAGCGUGGGCCAUGCUGCAAAACGUGCUGUCCCAGCGGGGCUCCCAGCGGGGCAAACAAGGACAGUACUGCCUCACGUGUGCUUCUGAAACAGACCAAGCAAGACAAGGAAAUCCAAAUGUUCCCUGCACAGGCUCGAUCCAGCCUUUGGGAUUAAAGGUACAUAGCUAUUGCUUCUAUUUCACUACCAUUGCAUUAUUAAGUUAAAAGAAUUCAAAAGCAAAUGCCCAGGACCCAAAAGGAGCUGCUGUCACAGAAAGGGGAUGGAAACCUGUUCAAGUGACUAGUAUGAGCCGCAGCACUACCUCCAGACAAAAUAAAAGGGAGGAGGGAAAAGGAAAGCAAUAACUCUAAUCUGCCACUUAGGUAAAUUGAGCAGGACAAAACCAAUUACGCUAGCUGCCCUUAGAAGUGCCAUUCUGCAGCUUCUCAACGUGCUGGCAUAAAGGCAGCAUUAACAGGGUAUCUAUGGCGAUAGCCAGCCAGCUUCUGCACUUGGUGAUGUCUCUGGGAGGCAGCACAACCCUCAGGUCUGCCUCCCCACCACAGUGCAGGUCCUUCCUGAUGUGCUGAAAGAGUAGCUCAUGUGUGCAUGUUCUAUCCUACAGCAGGAAAGGUCAGGCAUACGCAGGCUGAGCUGCCUACCUCUUUUGCCUAAAGUAAAAUGGAGGAAGUUUUCGCAAGGUAGGAUGCCAGAGGGGCUUUAAGUUUUACCUACAGCUAAAGAGUUCCUGUUCAUUGACUCAACUGGAUCCGAAAAAUGGUGUCUGCUUGUAGCCUGCUUGAUGUGAGAGCUGGCAAAGGUGAGGCUCUGUCACUGAGAACUAGCCAAAGGCUGGUGUUUCAGUGCUGCUGCUGCUUUCUGAACGGCACAGCUGCAUAAGCCUUUGCAUCGCCACCACUCAGGCUGCUCAAGUCUGCUCUGCCCCCCUUCUUUCCUUUCCUGCAUUUGUACCUACUGGGUGUAGGUACAUUUGCACCUAAAUUGCUACACACAUUUCGGCUCUAACGGCUCUAAGGGGUCCUGCAUUUUCUUGUUUUUGAAUCAAUAUAAGUCAGGAGUAAUCCUAGAGGAGAUUCACAAGGGCAAAGCCAGUGAAAAACAAGUGAAAUCAAACAGAGGCCCAAUUCACAGAGAUUCAAAGCUGAUUUUCUUGAGAAUGGAGGCUAAUCCAUUCUAAAAUAGGAAGCUUCCAGAUUUCAGGACUCCCAAGAAGGAAAGUUUUUAGCUAUAAAGAACAGAUCAUUCCCGUCUGUCACAGGCAGUGCUGCUGCUGAAGGCAAUGGGUGUAUUGACUGGUUCCAGCUGAGGAAGCGGCCAGGUGGAGUUAACUCUUCUAAAGAACAAUCCUUCAUGAGUUUACAGAGAAAAGUCCGCAUGACAGGCCUCAGCACGACCUUCCAGGGGAAGUAAGGGCCCAAGAUGUGCUCCGUAUUCACAAACAGGAAGGGCAGAUGGGAACUGGCUAUGAGGCAUCUGCAUGAUGUCCACCCCGUUCUGGAUUAGCCAAGCAAACAUCAGUGCUUGUGGACUCCUGUGUCGCUGAUAUUAGCAGAUUGUUCUUACUAGUGCUCAGCAUGAGAGAAGGGGGAGAAAUUAGGGAAAAACAAAAACAAAACAAAAAAAGCUCAUAAUAUUAAAACGCUGCUGGAGCCUGAAGUCAAUAUUGCCUGCUGUUCACAGAGCUGCUGCUUCUGUUUGAAGGACCCUACAUCUCUCUUUCUUUGCCACAUUUGCAAUUAGUUUUCCAUACACAUCCACUCUUGACUUUAAAAUAAUUUCCCCUUCACCCCUGAAGGAAAAUGAUUUUGUAAAGAAAUCGCUUCCAAAAUCGCAGUUCUUUUCUCGCCCGGGAGUGGCUCUGGCAGGCAGUCUGACGCAUCCCAGUGUACUCCUGAAAGCAUUCAUGCCUUGCUGAGCAUCACAUUUUGUGGCCAAGAUUUCAAAGAAAGCAAUCAGGACCAAAACUUCAAGCACUAACACCAUAUUUAGGCACUCGUGUGAGUGCUGUUUUUUUCAGCAAUGCUUAGCGUGUGGCAGCUCCAGAUGACUUCUCCAGAUGACUUCUUUCCAUCCCGUGCCUCAUUUUAACACCAAGCCCCAACAUAACCAUGGUGGUUUGCUACAGUGGCAGGUGUAUAUUCCUCUUGGUAGACUUGGAUCUGCUUUUCUGCAUCCUGUGAUGGUAUUUGGUAAGGCUGAAGGGCAGGUAAGUGAAUAUCACUGGAUCUUAUGGCCAUUCAGCACAAGCAGAAAGCCUGUGCCAGACCAGAAUAUUUCCACAGCAUGGAGUAAUUUUCUUUGCAACUUCCAGAGCCAUUUUCUUUCACGCCUGCUUUAGGCAUAUACAUUUAUUGCACUUUGCUGAAAUUCUCAAGGCUGGUUGUAAAGGGGAGUCAUGUAAAGUAAAGGCUCUUGGUGGUGUAGCCAAGUAUUUUGCCAUGGAACAGUUCUGUGUUAUCUCUAUCAUGGGUAGCUGAGCUCCUUGUCUUGCUUGCUGGAUGUUUCCUCUUGUUUGUUUGACAUCUGCCCUUGUGUUUGGGUGCCUCAUGUCAUGGAGACAGAGGACCCAGAAAAAAGGCUGGGAAGGUGGAAAAUAUGGAAUUAACAGGAAAUCAUGUU